GGGGGAAAGGGUUUAUUUGGUACUGAUUAACAUUUUGGCUCUAUUAUUUUUUUUUUACUCCAUUAAAUUUUUGUUUGGGCUUCAUUUAAAAAAUUUUGAUUUUAGCUUAAUUGAAAUUUUUUUGCCCCCAUUUAAAAAAUUAAGAUUUUGGCUCCAUUGAAAUUUGGUGUAUUAAAAAAAUAGGAUUUUGCCUCAAAUAAAUUAUUUUUGCUUACAUUGAACAAAUAUUUAUACAAAAUUAUUAUUACAAAUAAUUAAGAUUUUGGCUGAGUUAAAAAAUAUUAAUUUUAAAAUUUUGAUGUCUAUAGCCACAAAUUUAAUUGUGUAACUAUAACAAUUAGCGACAAAUUUAUGUUACCGAAGGUAUAAGACACCUAUACCAACAAUAAUAAUUUAUCUGUGGGUAUAGUUUAUCUAUACCUACAGUUUUUAAUUUUGUUACUAUAAGCUACUGUAGGUAUAUGUCUAUUUUCUUGUAGUG
rnacentral:lncRNA from 1 species